AUAAUCUGUCAUGAUGUUAUUCUCUCUCUUGUCAUUUGAACAAAAAUCAUUAGUUGCAGUUCAUACUAAGAAUGGAAGGAGAUGGGUAUUACACAAACUUGAUGAAUGAAACUGAGGAGAACAAUGCUGUGCCUUUCGCUUCUAGAAGCCCCCCUGCAGUGCAGCAAGCACCCUGUGUGGGCAAUACUGGCAGCACGAGGCCAAACCAGAAGAGAUCAAAAAACUUUAGUGAGGAAGAAGAUAAACUACUAGUAGCAGCAUGGUUAAAUGUCAGUAUUGAUCUAGUGCGUGGUGUGAAUCAAACUCGCGGCGCAUUUUGGAAGAGAAUUUAUGAUUUCUUUCAUUCAAAUAAGGAGUUUCCAUCAGAUCGUAGCCAAAGUUCACUUAUCCACCGUUGGUCAACUAUUCAAGAGUGUGUCAACAAGUUCUGUGCAUCGCUUAUCCAAAUUGAGGGUAGAAGGCAAAGCGGUGUGACUGUAUAUGACAAGCUUACGGAGGCUUGUGCUUUCUACAUGGCAGAAGAUAAAGACAAUAAGUCAUUUCAGUUCAUGCAUUGCUGGAACCUGUUAUGAACACAGCCAAAGUGGCAUGACAGGAUGAAGGAGUUGGCAACUCAGAAGAAUUCACACAAAAAACAGAAGACUGCAGCAGAUUCAGUUCUUGGGAUGGAUUCUGUGGAAAAUGGAAAUGAUGUCAAUCGUGAUGCAGACCAGAAUGAGAUUCCUGAGAGUGAUGUAGGCAAGAAAAGACCAAUGGGCAACAAGAAGGCAAAAGUUCUUUGCGUCGAGGUGGAGGUGAUGCAUGCACAGAGGCUUUGGACCAUUUGUG